UUUACAGCUGGUUGGUUUAAUUGUUUGACCCUUCUCCAAAACGCCAUCGUUUCGUCACUUGAUUCUUUCGAGAGACACGGGAGAGAGAGAGAGACGGUGCCGACGUCUUCUGCUGGUUGCCGAUCAGAUCCCCGACGGAGUUUUAAAACUAAGAGGGGGAAGAGAAGAGAUGGAUCAAGGAAGGCAAGUGUUUUCAGUUGAUCUUCUCGAGAGAUAUGCCUCGAAGAAUCGUGGCAUGAUCACAUGUAUGGCCGCUGGAAACGAUGUAAUUGUUCUGGGAACAAGCAAAGGAUGGAUCAUCCGCCAUGAUUUUGGAGUUGGGAGUUCUUAUGAUAUUGAUCUCUCUGUUGGUCGAACUGGAGAGCAAUCGAUUCACAAGGUUUUCGUUGACCCUGGUGGUAGCCAUUGCAUUGCUACGAUCACUGGUGUUGGAGGAGCUGAAUCUUUUUAUACUCAUGCUAAAUGGCCUAAGCCGCGUGUGUUGAGCCGCUUGAAAGGUUUGCUGGUUAACUCGGUCGCUUGGAACAGGCAACAGAUAACAGAAGUUUCAACUAAGGAGAUCAUCCUGGGCACUCAAGAUGGGCAGCUAUUUGAGAUGGCCGUGGAUGAGAAGGACAAGAGAGAGAAGUACAUCAAGUUUUUGUUCGAACUAGAAGAACUUCCCGAAGCCUUCAUGGCUUUGCAGAUGGAAACAGCCAACAUAAACGGUGGAAUGAGGUACUAUGUGAUGGCUGUAACUCCCACUCGACUCUACUCGUUCACCGGGAUUGGAACAUUAGAAUCUGUUUUUGCUAGUUAUAAAGAACGUGCAGUACAUUUUAUGGAACUUCCUGGUGAAAUACCAAACAGUGAACUACAUUUCUUUAUAAAGCAACGAAGAGCGGUGCAUUUUGCGUGGCUUUCAGGAACAGGAAUUUAUCAUGGGGGCUUAAAUUUUGGUGCUCAGCACAGUUACCCAAAUGGUGAUGAGAAUUUUGUGGAGAGCAAAGCCCUCUUGGACUACUCAAAACUGAGUGAUGGCACUGAAAUAGUCAAGCCUAGUUCGAUGGCACUCUCAGAAUAUCAUUUCUUGCUUCUUAUUGGGAAUAAGGUUAAGGUUGUGAAUCGGAUUAGUGAACAAAUCAUUGAAGAGCUCCAGUUUGAUAUAACGGCAGAUUCAGCUUCGAGGGGCAUAAUUGGACUUUGCAGCGAUGCAUCUGCUGGUCUUUUCUAUGCGUAUGAUCAGAAUUCGAUCUUUCAGGUUUCUGUAAUUGAUGAAGGCAGAGAUAUGUGGAAGGUUUACCUAGACUUGAAAGUUUUUGCUGCAGCUUUAGCAAACUGCCGUGACCCUCUCCAGAGAGACCAAGUUUAUUUAGUUCAGGCAGAGGCUGCAUUUGCCGACAAGGAAUAUCUACGAGCAGCAUCAUUCUAUGCCAAAAUCAAUUAUGUAAUAUCUUUUGAAGAGGUCACGUUGAAGUUUAUUAGUAUCAACGAACCGGAAGCUUUGAGAACCUUCCUGUUGCGGAAGCUUGAUACUCUUUCAAAGGAUGAUAAAUGUCAGAUUACAAUGAUAUCAACAUGGGCAACUGAGCUGUAUCUGGACAAGAUAAAUCGGCUGCUUUUGGAAGAUGAUACUGCUAUAGAAAACUGUAACUCAGAGUAUCACUCAGUCAUUCAAGAAUUCCGUGCUUUCAUGAGCGACUGCAAGGAUGUAUUAGAUGAGGCAACAACCAUGAAACUUCUGGAGAGUUAUGGUCGGGUUGAAGAGUUGGUAUAUUUUGCAAACCUGAAGGAGCAGUAUGAAAUCGUUAUUCACCAUUAUAUUCAGCAAGGGGAAGCAAAGAAAGCUUUGGAGGUGCUCCAGAAAUCUUCAGUUUCAGAUGAGCUUCAGUAUAAAUUUGCGCCAGAACUUAUUAUGCUUGACGCAUAUGAAACCGUGGAAUCAUGGAUGGCCUGUAAAAAUCUGAAUCCAAGGAGACUGAUUACUGCAAUGAUGCGUUACUCAAGCGAACCUCAUGCAAAGAACGAGACACAUGAAGUCAUAAAAUACCUUGAGUUUUGCGUCCAUAGUUUGCAUAACGAGGAUCCAGGGAUUCACAAUUUACUUCUCUCAUUAUAUGCCAAGCAGGAAGAUGACAGUGCCCUCCUCCGUUUCCUGCAAUGCAAGUUUGGGAAAGGACGAGAGAACGGUCCUGAAUUUUUCUACGAUCCCAAAUAUUCAUUGCGCCUGUGUCUCAAGGAAAAGAGAACUCGUGCCUGUGUCCAUAUAUACAGCAUGAUGUCUAUGCAUGAAGAGGCGGUAGCCCUUGCUCUCCAGAUUGAUUCAGAACUUGCUAUGGCUGAGGCUGAUAAGGUUGAAGAUGAUGAAGACCUGAGAAAGAAGCUGUGGCUGAUGGUUGCAAAGCAUGUCGUCAAGCAGGAAAAAGGAGUCAAAAGGGAAAACAUAAGGAAAGCUAUUGCCUUUCUCAAGGAAACUGAUGGCCUUCUAAAGAUUGAAGAUAUUUUGCCAUUCUUUCCGGACUUUGCCUUAAUUGAUGACUUCAAGGAAGCGAUUUGCUCAUCUCUGGAGGAUUACAACAAGCAAAUAGAACAAUUGAAAGAGGAGAUGAACGAUGCCACACGUGGUGCAGAUAAUAUUAGAAACGAUAUUAGUGCCCUAACGCAAAGAUAUGCUGUAAUCGACCGCGAAGAGGAAUGCGGGGUUUGUAAACGUAAAAUCUUGACGAUGACGGGGGAUUUCAGAAUGGCUCAGGGAUAUUCAUCAUCUGGACCACUGGCUCCUUUCUAUGUUUUUCCUUGUGGGCACUCUUUCCAUGCACAGUGCCUGAUUACACAUGUCACAAGCUGUGCACACGAAGAGCAAGCCGAGCAUAUACUCGAUCUGCAAAAGCAGCUGACAUUGCUUGGUAGUGAAACCCGGAGGGAUAUGAAUGGUAAUCGAUCUGAUGAACCUAUAACUAGCACAACUACUGCAGACAAGCUUCGAUCAGAGCUAGAUGAUGCUAUCGCCAGCGAAUGCCCGUUUUGUGGAGAAUUAAUGAUCAAUGAGAUCACUCUGCCUUUUAUUAAACCUGAGGAAACACGACACUCUGCUUCAUGGGACCUCCGACCACAGACCAACUUAGCAAACCAGAGGACCAUUUCUUUGCCUGUUUGAUUUGUGUGACACCGUGAUAGCUUUGGAGUGUGAAUGUGAUUUCGAGUGCGAAUAUAUUUUCUUCGACAGAGCCUGCUUGCCCCAGCGCUUCAAGUCAUAGGCUCUCUUGAAAGGUUUCUUCUCCUUGGUAAGUCUUUUAUUUGUAAUAGCGAUUGCAAGAUCGUUCGGGAACAAACUUUGCCAGACAAAGCCGUGGAGAAGCGUGGAGACGAACAAAACGCAGAC